UGUGCACCGGUGGGGUCCCUCGGCCUGGCCUGUGCCCUCUCACAAUUUGGGACCCCUCAGGGGAUGUUGGAGAGCCAGUUUUUGCCCAAUCCCUGCAGGCCAGGCCGAGGGACCCCACCGGUGCACA
rnacentral:pre_miRNA from 1 species